ensembl:lncRNA
ACUCCUCCUAGAGAUUUAUUCAGAUCAACACCAAAUUUGGUAUGCCUAAUCUAAAGGCCUUUGCGAUGUUAAAUUGCGAAGAUCUUGAGUUUUUCGUUGAAGGGCGUGUCCGUGGCGGCCUGACGAAUUUUCGAUGAUUCGCCAUGAAAAAAAUGAAGUUGCUAUAACUCAGACAUACAAUGUCCAAUCUGCCCACAAACUUCACAUGUUUGAUAAGACUCCUGACCUGAACAGAUUGAUAUGCCCAUAUUCAGUUAUAGUCAUAGCGCCACCUACUGGCAACAGGAAGUGACAUAUUUUACACUGUAACAAACUACCCCGAGAAAUUUUAUGACAUAAAUGUUUUUUUUUCAGUCACUCUAUUCUAAAGGCCUGUGCGAUGUUAAAUUGUGAAGAUCUUGAGUUUUCGUUAAAGGGCGUGUCCAUGGCGCCGUCACAAAGUUCGAUGUCUCGCCAUGGGAAUAAAAGUUAUUGUAACUCAGGCAUAAAAUGUCCGAUCUUGCCCAAACUUCACAUGUUCGAUAAGAGUCCUGGCCUGAACAAAUCUGAAGGCCAAUAUUCCAUCGGGUGUGUGGCAAAAAGACCACAAAUAAAAUGAAAACAUAUGUUCCAUCAAAAUUACUUUACAUGGAUGUCAGUGCUUUUAUCCAUAAAUGGCAUUUUCCAGCACCACAUCCAACAUAUGGCAUGCUUUUAGAUCUUCUUGUCUCAUUUUCAUUCCUGAUUGAUUUACAUAUCCAUAAAUAAAGGCUCGCUGAAUUCAGUGAUUGCACUAUUACAAAUCAUUUUAUUGUGGUUUGUGUGUUAAUUUCUUAAUCGCCGGUUCUCAGUGGAUUAUGGACUGAAACGCAGACAAGGGACAGAUGAUAAAAGAUGGCAGGGAGCUGUCUAAACACACCAGUCCCUGUCAGUGCAGAUGGAGGCUGAAUGGCAGACUGAAAGAGGAAAAGGAUUUUCUUGGCAUUAAAAUCUUUCUUUUCUUGGCAGAGAGCUCUCUUUGCCGGUUGUGAAGGUCCAGGGGCAGGAAAUUGGCUUCUCAGACUCACAGAUGGUCUAAGGCUCGGUCUACAUCCAUACGCGCGCACGCACACAAGCGCACACACACACACACACACACACACACACACACACACACACACACACACACACACACACACACAAACAAACCUUGAGUUUUUGGUACACCGUUGAAGUUCUCCCCUCCUUUUUCUCUCCUCUCAUUUGCCAGUAAAUGUUUGUCAGCUAAUCUUGUCAUCGAGUGGGUAUUACACAAGUGUGUCUGUCAAAAUUUAUGCUUGUACUGUCACGUAAGCCAAACUCACACCACAAAAUUUUGACCUCUUGAGUAUGUCUUUGAAAAAGUGUUGACGCUGUCACUGCUUUCUGCAUGUGAACAUAUGGAGAGGGAGCAGAGUAUGAAUAUGCACACACAUGCACACGGUGAGCCAUUGAAGGCCUUGUCUCAGAUUUUAGAUGACACCAUGGCACUACUGUAUGUUGGCAGGCAGAUUAUUUCUGCACACCUGUACUAUCUUUAUUAAUACUUUUACUCAAUAACAUAUCUAAGAAAAAAAUUUUAUGGUACAAAGUGUAUGUAUUUAUGGUAAUUGUCACGCAAAUCUGUCCUUAAUCUUAUUAAGAAUAGCUUAUGAGGCGAGUCAUUUUGAUGAGUCAGAGAUGAAUGACCACAACUAUGGUCAUUGAUUUUUGAGAGAAAGCACCUCUACAGUCACACAUGUAAUGAUAGAGACAAUCUUGACUUGAGUGCUAUUACAGUUGGUAAUCGGUCUAUAUUUUCAAGUGUCAACUAUUAAAAAAAGCUUACACUAAUUUCGGGUUUCAGAAUAUUGGUCUCUUGACACGUGCUGUGCUCUAGAUUCUUACAUAAUUGAGCAAAUUAGAAUUUUUUAAUUAAACAAUUUAGGAAGUUUAUGUAACUAACAUAGUUUAAUGAGAAAACCUGUUUUGUCUCUUGAUUUCAUCAUAUCUGCAUCUAAAAUUGGAUACUUUGUACUACAUUUGAUGUCAAACGACCUUUGUAGGUGUUAAGCUAUAUAAUAACCCAACACAACAACAAGAAAAGCUUGUAAAGUUAGUAAAGCUAAUAGGCUCAGUAGCUUCUGCAGCAUGAACACAAGCAUGCAGUCUGCCAUUGUUGUUGUUGCUGCUGUUAUGUGACGUAUCAGUGUCUGACUAGGGUCGAGACAUGGGGUGAUGACAUCAUCGUUUCACAAAAUAUACGGAUUGGCUGUACACAAAAUCACAAAGUUGUAGUUUUUAGAUUUAUCCUCUCUGGAACCCGGUUUCAAAACAUAGAGGUUUCGGGCUCCCAGAACUGGACGAAAUGCCGAUAUGAUAAAAAAAUUUGCACAGCUAUACCUUGUUUUGUUCCCCUCAUGUUUCUGGUUGUGGCUAGAAGGGAUACAGCUAAACCCGGAAGCUAACAAUAAAUAAAGUUUUUUACCUAUUAGAAAACUGUGUUUUAGUAAUAUUUACACAUACCCCAACCCUAAACCUACCCCUUACAAUAAUGCAAAAACAGUAAUUAAGGUUGUACAGUGCCCAAUAAAUGAAUCUGUAUACUAUCUAGUCUUAAACUGUGUUUCCCUGCUGCUCUGUUCCCUUGUUUGUUGCCAUAUUGGACCACACCCAUCAGUUUGUUAUUUCCCACGGUUACUCAAAAGUUCAUUGGUUCAGCUCUGUAUAGCCUUAAUGUUUCUCUUGUGCUUUGUAAGUCGUUUGUCUUACUUUGUCUUACUUUUAUUUAAAAACCUUUAAAAAUUGUAUUUACAAUUUUUGACAGGCAGUAUAUGCAGUAUGUAAUCCCAUUAUCAUAGUAAUAAAUACAUUCAAUUCAAAAGAAUGGAAUUAAAUCAAAUGGAGCCAUACAGAUAGAGAAAGAAAUUGCAAAUGAUCAAGAUGAAUAGAACAAGUAAGUUGGAGACAGGGGCAGAGAAACUGAAUUGCAAAGUCAGCAUUUACCUGACUGUCUCUCCCUCUUUGUCUCUCUUCUCUCACACACAUUCAUGCUCAACAUUAUAGUGACGCAUCAGUGUGUAUGCAGGUCAGACCCCAGGUGUAAAUGUUCUCAUUCUAGCUCUUGUGUAUGCGCACUUGUGUUUCCCCUCGUGGCCGGUAGAAGAGGGGAAAACGGAAUGAUCUAUUUAUUUACAGCAUGAGGCAGCAGCACUAUUUAUGAUCCUUAAACUAUAAGCUUUCGGGAGACUCGUAAAAGAGAAGUGUGUGUGAGUGGGGCUUGACUCUUGUAAGGCAAGACUUGGGGACAGGAAUAUUUAUUUAUUUGUUUAUGUUUAGAGGGAAAGGGGCAUUGUAGGAAUUCAGUAAUUCAGGGUGUGCUUUAUGAUCUCUUCAAGACUCUCCAGGUCUUCAGGGUCUAGAGGUUUCUGGCUUGUAGGCCUAUAUCAAUUUUAUUUUAAGACUUGUCUGUUUAUCCCUGCUUUGAUGGAAAGCAAAUGAUGUCGAGAUCUCCUGAUCUCCAACACUUAUCUCCAGGGCCUUUAGCUCUGCUGCUGUGUGUAUGGUUUAUCAAUACCAUACAAUUUUAGCUGUGAAAUAUUAUGAGUCUCAUCAAGGACGAAUCUGUCUCCUAGGAAACAUGUGCCUUGCAAACACACACAAACUUGUACAUUCAACCACACUGUUCACACCUUACAUAAACAUGCUGUUAUAGGUCUGAAUGAAUUAGAUGGUUAUGCUGUUUUACAUACUGCAUUACUAUAUCAUGGUAUUUCUCCAAGACAGAAUACUAUUAAUG